GAUUAACGCUGGCGGCGUGCCUAACACAUGCAAGUCGAGCGGCAGCGAGUUUUACACUGAAUUCUGGAAGCUUCUAGUUGAAAGAGAAGAUUUAUUCAAGAAUUUUGUGUAAAAUGUCGGCGAGCGGCGGACGGCUGAGUAACGCGUGGGAACGUACCCCAAAGUGAGGGAUAACGCAUCGAAAGGUGUGCUAAUACCGCAUAUGGUCUUCGGAUUAAAGCCUUCGGGCGCUUUGGGAACGGCCUGCGUAAGAUUAGAUAGUUGGUGGGGUAAUGGCCUACCAAGUCGACGAUCUUUAGCUGGUUUGAGAGGAUGAUCAGUCAGACUGGAACUGAGACACGGUCCAGACUCCUACGGGAGGCAGCAGUGAGGAAUCUUCCACAAUGGGCGAAAGCCUGAUGGAGCAACGCCGCGUGCAGGAUGAAGGCCUUCGGGUUGUAAACUGCUUUUAUAAGUGAGGAUUAUGACAGUAACUUAUGAAUAAGGAUCGGCUAGCUACGUG
rnacentral:rRNA from 1 species